UUCAGGCCCUACGGGGCGCAGCAGGCGCGAAAACUUUACAAUGCAGGAAACUGUGAUAAGGGAACCCCGAGUGCCCGUAUAUGCGGGCUGUCCGGGUGUUUAAAACGCAUCCGAAGAAAGGGCCGGGCAAGACCGGUGCCAGCCGCCGCGGUAAUACCGGCGGCUCGAGUGGUGGCCACUUUUAUUGGGCUUAAAGCGUUCGUAGCUUGAAUAAUAAGUCUCUUGGGAAAUCUGCAGGCUUAACCUGCAGGCGUUUAAGAGAAACUGUUGUUCUAGGAACCGGAAGAGGUGAGAGGUACUCCGGGGGUAGGAGUGAAAUCCUGUAAUCCCCGGGGGACCACCGAUGGCGAAGGCAUCUCACCAGGACGGCUUCGACAGUGAGGAACGAAAGCUGGGGGGAGCGAACCGGAUUAGAUACCCGGGUAGUCCCAGCCGUAAACAAUGCGCGUUAGGUGG
rnacentral:rRNA from 1 species